rnacentral:rRNA from 1 species
CAACUCGCCUACAUGAAGUUGGAAUCGCUAGUAAUCGCGAAUCAGAAUGUCGCGGUGAAUACGUUCCCGGGUCUUGUACACACCGCCCGUCACACCACGAGAGUUGGCAAUACCCAACGUACGUGAUCUAACCCCGCAAGGGAGGAAGCGUCCUAAGGUAGGGUCAGCGAUUGGGGUGAAGUCGUAACAAGGUAGC